rnacentral:rRNA from 2 species
UCUGGUGUCAGUCGCCGCGGUAAAACCAGCACCUCGAGUGGUCAGGAGGUUUAUUGGGCCUAAAGCAUCCGUAGCCGGUUGUUUAAGUUUUCGGUUAAAUCUAUGCGCUUAACGUAUAGGCUGCCGAAAAUACUGGACAGCUAGGGAGUGGGAGAGGUACACGGUACUCAAUAGGAAGGGGUAAAAUCCUUUGAUCUGUUGAUGACCACCUGUGGCGAAGGCGGUGUACCAGAACACGUUCGACGGUGAGGGAUGAAAGCUGGGGGAGCAAACCGGAUUAGAUACCCGGGUAGUCCCAGCUGUAAACGAUGCAAACUCGGUGAUGCAUUGGCUUGUGGCCAAUGCAGUGCCGCAGGGAAGCCGUUAAGUUUGCCGCCUGGGAAGUACGUACGCAAGUAUGAAACUUAAAGGAAUUGGCGGGGGAGCACCACAAGGGGUGAAGCCUGCGGUUCAAUUGGAGUCAACGCCAGAAAUCUUACCCGGAGCGACAGCAGAAUGAAGGUCAAGCUGAAGACUUUACCAGACAAGCU